GCACAUUCUCAGUGGCGUUAUGCUGCAGGCAUGAUCCCCAAGGCCCGACCGGACACGUGCGGAUCUGGCCGGACCAAUCGACAUUUAUCUGGACUAAAAUGAGGAUGGGGUUGGACAGGGAAUUUUUUCUUGGAGUUAGUUUGUUAGUUUAAAUGUUCUCCUUUAUUCCAAUCAUGUUCUUUCCAUCUUUAGAUGUUAAAAUGUCCUUUUGUUGAAGAAACAGUGGUGAGAAAAAUAGCAGGGUCUUUCCUUGGUUUGCAAUGCCUGCAUGUGACAGAAUAAACCCUGCGUUCCUGAAGCUUCACCAGCCCUGGAAUCACUGUCGCAGAGGGAGUCGCCAGACAGGCUCCCAGGGAACAAGUCCUCAAGGUCACCAUUCCACUGGACCCGGGCUGAGAGCCGGUCACUGCCAGCUUUCGAGAGGUCUUCUGAUGCCUCAGUGCGUUGUUGAAAGUAAACACGGAGCCCCCUGAGUUCUCUUGGCGCCUGAUGCCAGGGCAGGAGCAGGAGCAGGUGUCACUGGCACAAGACAGGUGCUGUUGAGGCACAUGGAGCGAUGUGGAAGACAUGCCCAGAGACCUCAGAGACCGGCUGAUGGUUUCUCCCAAAGAACUGAGACUUCCAACCUGUGGAGUCAGAGGCUGCUGGGAAGAGAAGCACAGAUCCUACAAGCGGGGCACUGGAGAGAUGGUGAGAAGGUCCAAUUCUAUUUGUACUGCGGGGUUUUGGGACCCAGGUGUUCUGGCUAUAGGGGAUGUAGCACUCUGUGUCCAUCUUUGGCUGAGUGUGUCUACCACACUAUAGGACAAAUAUCCCAAAACCAUGGGGUUUUGACCCUGAGCCAGC
rnacentral:lncRNA from 1 species